rnacentral:rRNA from 1 species
UACGUAGGUGGCGAGCGUUGUCCGGAAUUACUGGGUGUAAAGGGCGUGUAGGCGGGAUUGCAAGUCAGAUGUGAAAUUCUUGAGCUUAACUCAAGAGCUGCAUCUGAAACUGUGAUUCUUGAGUACUGGAGAGGAUAGUGGAAUUCCUAGUGUAGCGGUGAAAUGCGUAGAUAUUAGGAGGAACACCAGUGGCGAAGGCGGCUAUCUGGACAGUAACUGACGCUGAGGCGCGAAAGCGUGGGGAGCAAACAGGAUUAGAUACCCUGGUAGUCCACGCUGUAAACGAUGAAUACUAGGUGUAGGAGGUAUCGACCCCUUCUGUGCCGCAGUUAACACAAUAAGUAUUCCACCUGGGGAGUACGGCCGCAAGGUUGAA